UUACUCCAUUAUUUUGAAUUUCAGCAUUGGGCUUGGUUUUGGGAUAGUUUUUACUGGCCAUGAGGCUUGUUUUGUUUAUGUCUGCAUUCAGUCUGAAGUGCACAUUUGAGGAACUGUAUUUUGCACAUUUGCACAUGGCUUGAGUUUUUAACCAUUGGAGUUGCUGCUUCUUAAUGAGAGAAGCACACUUGUCUCAUAUCUGUCCUCUAAAUGUGAAGCUUAAGUAGUAGUAGCAAGGCAACAAACAAAUGUUUUUAGCAAAAAGAUCUUAUCUUUGCUCAAACAAAUUUAUUACCUCUGAGCAUAUCCUCGCUAGCGUUUCCCCCUCUUCUACGUAUUUGCGCCAAGCUAAGCUAAGCUCACUAGCUAGUUCUUAACCAAAUCAUAGUUUGUUUGUACAUUUAAUAACAGUUUUAAGAGGCCAGCCAGAAAAAUAGCAUUAGUGUGAAUACCAAUAACAGAACGUCAACCCUGAAGCAUCAUGGAGCCACUUUGAAACUCUUUGCUAGCGAAACUGCUGCUACAAGACUGCUACAAAAGGAUUUCUGGGUCAAGAAUCGCCACGAGUAUCCAGCCUGGAAAAAUCCUUCCUGUUCAGAGCUGUCAGUCAGGUGUGGUGCGUCCUCCUGUGUCCGCUUGCAUGGAGGCGUCCAGAUGUAUCUGUUUAUUCCACCCGACCUGGGUCAGGCUUGGAACGCCUUGGAAUCCCACAUGGGUGAGGGAUGUAUCUGCUGACUUGCUUAGCCUGCUACCACCUUGACGCAACCCCAGAUAAGUGGAAGAAAAUGGGUGGAGGGAUUUGUGCUCUACACUUUGGUCCUCCCCUUUGAAAAUGUGACGUAGUUGUUCAGAGACAGGAACUGUUAUUUGUCCUACAUCUGUGGUUCUCAACUGGUUGAGCCUCAGGACCCAACAUCAGCUCCUCAAUGAGAAAUUGUGACCUAAGUUCCAGGUAUUUUUCAGCCAGUCUGAUUAUUUAAUAAAAAAGCACAGUCUGGACCUUAAUCAGUACAAAUGAUGUAACAGAUAAAACAAAAAGGAAAGAACAAGGAUGUUUUAACACUCUGGGACCUAUGCUUUUUUUAAAUCAUUUUGUCUUCUCUGGACUUUUUGUCAUCAAAAACUUGUAAAACAUACAUUCUGUGAUGCACAUUUAAUCUCUUAACAUCCCUUAAUUGAGGACAACUUGGGCUUUAAGAAUAUGUAUGCCACUGUGAUGU